rnacentral:rRNA from 1 species
UACAGAGGGGGCAAGCGUUGUUCGGAAUUACUGGGCGUAAAGGGCGCGUAGGCGGUCUUCUAAGUCGAACGUGAAAUCCCCGGGCUCAACCCGGGAACUGCGUCCGAUACUGGAAGGCUUGAAUCCGGGAGAGGGAUGUGGAAUUCCAGGUGUAGCGGUGAAAUGCGUAGAUAUCUGGAGGAACACCGGUGGCGAAGGCGACAUCCUGGACCGGUAUUGACGCUGAGGAGCGAAAGCCAGGGGAGCAAACGGG